rnacentral:rRNA from 1 species
CCUACGGGACGCAGCAGUGAGGGAUAUUGGUCAAUGGGCGAGAGCCUGAACCAGCCAAGUCGCGUGAGGGAAGACGGCCCUACGGGUUGUAAACCUCUUUUGUCAGGGAGCAAGAACGGAUACGUGUAUCCGAGCGAGAGAACCUGAAGAAAAAGCAUCGGCUAACUCCGUGCCAGCAGCCGCGGUAAUACGGAGGAUGCGAGCGUUAUCCGGAUUUAUUGGGUUUAAAGGGUGCGUAGGCGGGCUGCCACGUCAGCGGGAAAAUUGUGGGGGGCAACCCCGUCGAGCCGUGGAAACUGGCGGCC